CUUGUAGCCAUCUGAGGAGUGGUCAGUGAAGUUAUCCCUUGGCUAUAAUGCAAGCACUGGAUUUUCUCUGAAAUAGUGUUUACUGCAAAAAGCCUGAAGGGAGUAAUUCUACUCACUAGAACAUAAACAAUAAGCUGCAGUUGCUCUGGUGACUAUUGUGUCCCUUUAAAAUAAAUAUGCUCUUUUGUUCAUUUUGAAGUCCUA